GUUCCUACCAAGCCACCCUCCACCCCCAUCCGACUGGCCUCCUGCUCACGUCUUUAGCUGCAAUUUAUCAAUUCUCAUUUGGGUUUAUUAAAAUCCCCUCUGGGGGCUGUGCAAGCAAAGCGAGCUGAGACGUACACAGAUCAAUCAGAGCACAGUCUCCAUGUCAUGGCCAUCUCUUGUCCUGCACCACCCGAACACAUCUGCACCCACUCACGGUGCAUGGACCACAGCUGCUGCUGCUGUAGGACCCUGAGCUGGGAAUGGGGGUGGGAUGCAGAGAUCGGGGUGCAGCAUCACUGUGCUUCCUUCUGAUGGGGAUAAAGGAGCAUGAGAAGGGGAAAUGGAGGUGCCUGGGUGUAAACAUCCCCCAGCCAGAGGAUGAUGAUCCAGUUGUCAGUGUAGGACAGAAGAACAGAGCAGAGCUGGGGGUGGACGGGGCUGGAUUGGGCCAGCGCUGCUCUAAGGAAGGAGUGGGUGGCACAGAGCAGCAAGCAGGGAUCGGUGAGAGCAGCACAGACCUGAAGCUCACAGGAGGCCCAGGCAUCAGGAGCAGACAGGCAGGAGGUGGCACGGAGCCUGCGGGAUGUGAGACCAGCUGGGGGACCGCCAGCUCCAUCCUGCCUUCCUCCGACGGUUGGGACCCCACGUAGACCAUGAAUGGAUCCUUCUUCAACCAGAGCCUCCUGGAGCAAGGAGCAUACCCCAACAGGACCCGGGGUUUGGGGUUGCUCCUGGCCUGCUGCAAUGGGACCAGCUCGGUGCUGGCACCCGAUGGCAGCUCCUCGGUGCUGGUGCCCGAUGAGCGUAGCCUGUACAUCACACGCGUGGUGCAGAUCGCCGUCCUCUGCGUCCUCUCCUUGACUGUGGUGUUUGGCAUCUUCUUUUUGGGCUGCAAUUUGCUCAUCAAGUCGGAGAGCAUGAUUAACUUUUUGGUGAAGGACCGAAGACCUUCCAAGGACGUGGGAGCCGCGAUCAUGGGGCUCUACUGAUGCCGUGGAGCAAGUGUAGGCAAGUGGCUGGAGCUGGUGCUGAGAUGCACGUGCCCAUGUGUUCGGGGCAGUUGGGGGGAAUGGGAAAGGGAAGGGGGGGGGUGAUGUCUUUUCAUGUGUCUGUGUCCACGGGAAAGCAAAUCAGUGCUUCACAGUGAGCAAACUCCAUCGUGGUGAAUGGGGAGAUGUCCCCAGCGCUAUGUGAAGUGCAACGACCAGCAUCGUGUUGCAUGCAGAAAUGGCUUAAGUUUUGCAUGAAACUUGCAGAAACGGCGAUAAUGUGCAGAUCUGGACUCUUGUCUGCUGUUACCUUGGAUACCGCCUCUUGGGAUUUAGGGCUAAAAAAAAUCAAAAGUGAAGAAAAUGUAAAAGAAAAAAAGAGCAAACUCACUACAGAAUGAGAAGAAACUAUGGGGGAAGUGGAGUGCGUGGCAUGGACCACAUCUUUGUCUGUGGGGUAGGGGAAGGGAAGGGCUGUGUGGGUCGGACAGCAAAGUCUGCAUGCUAUGAAAUGUGUCAAUCUGUUGUGUUCUGGACCUCCCGCAUGCACCGCCAGGUGGUUUUGUAACAGGGAGAGCAUGUUCCUCCUCGAUUCUGAACCGUCCUGUCAAAUAAAAUGCAGAUUUCCUCUUUCA
ensembl:lncRNA